AUUGAACGCUGGCGGCAGGCCUAACACAUGCAAGUCGAGCGGAGCGGCGGACGGGUGAGUAAUGCCUAGGAAUCUGCCUGGUGGUGGGGGAUAAGGUCCGGAAACGGGCGAUAACACCGAAUACUUUCAGAUGAGCCUAGGUCGGAUUGGCUAGUUGGUGGGGUAAAGGCCUACCAAGGCGACGAUCCGUAACUGGUCUGAGAGGAUGAACAGUCACAUUGGAAUGAGGACACGGUCCAGACUCCGACGGGAGGCAGAAGUGGGGAAUAUUGGACAAGGGGCGAAAGCCUGAUCCAGCCAUGCCGCGUGUGUGAAGAAGGUCUUCGGAUUGUAAAGCACUUUAAGUUGGGAGGCGUUACCAGCAGAAUAAGCACCGGCUAACUACGUGCCAGCAGCCGCGGUAAUAC
rnacentral:rRNA from 1 species